UUAUUUUUGUAUCAAAGCUAACAUAUAAGAAUUAGGAGCUUCUUCUUCAAUAAAAUAUAAUUGUUACGCUUGGCUUCUGAAAUAA
rfam:Brassica rapa chromosome A3, whole genome shotgun sequence.